UUUGGCCCAUCAUUCAAAAAGUAAUGGGUGUUCUUGCUGAUAAAUCCAGAAAACUAGAUCAAUUUCCUCUUGAAACUGAUGCUAGAAUUUCCCCGCUGAUCAGUGAGAAGAAAAAGGUUGUUUAAUGACUUAUUGACAGCCAAAGAUAUUUUGGGAUCCAUGUGGUCAUGCGGACUAAAUGGACUAAUAUUGGAUGUUGAAGGGUUGAGGA